AGUGAACGCUGGCGGUAGGCCUAACACAUGCAAGUCGAACGGCAGCACAGUAAGAGCUUGCUCUUACGGGUGGCGAGUGGCGGACGGGUGAGGAAUACAUCGGAAUCUACUUUUUCGUGGGGGAUAACGUAGGGAAACUUACGCUAAUACCGCAUACGACCUACGGGUGAAAGCAGGGGAUCUUCGGACCUUGCGCGAUUGAAUGAGCCGAUGUCGGAUUAGCUAGUUGGCGGGUAAAGGCCCACCAAGGCGACGAUCCGUAGCUGGUCUGAGAGGAUGAUCAGCCACACUGGAACUGAGACACGGUCCAGACUCCUACGGGAGGCAGCAGUGGGGAAUAUUGGACAAAGGGCGCAAGCCUGAUCCAGCCAUACCGCGUGGGUGAAGAAGGCCUUCGGGUUGUAAAGCCCUUUUGUUGGGAAAGAAAAGCAGCAGGUUAAUACCCCGCUGUUCUGACGGUACCCAAAGAAUAAGCACCGGCUAACUUCGUG
rnacentral:rRNA from 1 species